rnacentral:tRNA from 1 species
GGGGCAUAGCUCAGUGGUAGAGCAUUCAAGUGCAGAUCGAGAGGUCCUCGGUUCAAUCCCGGGUGCCAGUU